rnacentral:rRNA from 1 species
CGGGUGAGUAACGCGUGGGUAACCUGCCUUGUACAGGGGGAUAACAGUUGGAAACGGCUGCUAAUACCGCAUAAGCGCACGGCAUCGCAUGAUGCAGUGUGAAAAACUCCGGUGGUAUAAGAUGGACCCGCGUUGGAUUAGCUAGUUGGUGAGAUAACGGCCCACCAAGGCGACGAUCCAUAGCCGACCUGAGAGGGUGACCGGCCACAUUGGGACUGAGACACGGCCCAA